rnacentral:lncRNA from 1 species
GUNCAAAAAUAUUAGAGAGAGCAAGUUAUGGACGUUCGAUUUUGCUUAGUGGAGCUAAAAAACAGCCAAGUUUCUUCAAAACCGCGCAAGCCACUCAUCUUCAAAACUCCGUAAAUCUUCUGAGAAACCAAGAGAGAUUUGGUUUAUUGUCUCUAUUCACUUGCUUUAACUGAUCAUAGUAAGCAUCAUUCAAUAAUUUAGAUAAGCCUACAGUUUAUUUGUUUAGAUGAGUCCGCAUCGGUUUUGUAUAUGAUCAGCAACGAGUAAAUUUCGUUAUGGUUUUUGUGUCCCGAUUUGUACUGGAAAAAAGGUGAAAUGCUGUUGCAUUCGUAAUUUGGCUGCUAGAACAAACACUUGAAAAUGGAAAUCUUCUAGUGUAUUUAGCUGCUAAGUGUUCAAUAGUUGGAAAUGUUCGGGCAUGCUACUUCGAAUUGUCAAUAGUGCUCAUAAACCUUCUUGUUUACUGUUAUAAUAAAUAGAAUGAUUUACUAGAUAUUUCUCAAAUGCAGAUUGAUCUAUAUGAAUUUAAGCCUCUAUCUUCAUUCUAGAGUCCAACUUUAGCCCCCGAUUGGCUUGGAUUUAUAAUGGCAGUUCCAUUUUUUUUUUUUUUUUUUUUUUUUUUGUUUUGAAG